GUAUGCGUUCCACUCGGCCAUUGUUGACUUCUGUCACGUUAGAGAAUGCCCCCAAAAGGACAUAAUUACGCUUCUACAGUUUUCCAUCUAUCCGUUUCCUGUACGGCUCAUCCUCACUGGGGUAUGCUGGAGCCUAUCCCAGCUGACAGGCGGGUUACACCCUGGACUGGUCACCAACUGAGCAGUUUUCAUUCCUGGGAAAACACCUUGUGAAGCGAGCAUGACCUUCAGUGCCUGUGCAGGCUCCUUCCAGCUCACCGCUCCUGCUGCGAUGCAUCCUGGCUGAGACGCCGUUGGCUCUCCCUCCAUUGGGUGAACUGGUCACAGCAUUUUCCACGGUGCUCACCUCUCCUCCCUGUUGCUUCAGAAGGUGCUGAUGUCUUUCCGGAUGGGUGAGAAUCAAUCUCCCAACUUCCUGCCCUGGCAUGGUGUCGUGUUGCGUUGGUGCAUCAGCAUGUGAAAUGCUAAACAGCAGCCAUCCAGAUGGUGGCGGACCCUCCAAAGACGUUGGACAUCCACGGGCUCACCAUGCUUUGAAGACUAAAAGGUUAAGUAGAAUCCGCCAAGAGCAGCGUGUGCAUGUGCCAGAGAGCCCAACAGUGAUAGACAGCACGGAGAAGGUAAGAUCAGGACUUCCAUGCUACAGACACGACUCCCAGUGCAGCUGCAGGUCUGUGCUGUCCAGGAAGUCUGCAGAGAAGACGCUCGGCGGUGUAUGCGGUGCCAGCGGGGCCAGGCUCGUGCCCCCGUCUGCCUCCUUGGCUCCCACAGCGGCGCCACUAGUCCCGCCGUUGGAGCUCCCCACCAUGGAGAUGUCCAGCCAGUCCAUGCAUUCCAGAGUGGGGUCCCCGAAGCCCAGCCCCGUUGAGUGAGCUCUACCUGCAGCGUGAUGCGUCCGUUGGUUUUGGCCAGUGAGGCGCUUCGGUUCUGGUCGUCUGCGGUGGGACUGGUCAGAGCGAUCAAGUAGUGGUUGCCGUUGGUGUCGGUGACCAGUGUUGGCGUGCCGCCGGCCUUGAGGAGGUCUAGGGAAAUAGCCUGAGUGUGGAUCUGAGUACCGUUCUGUUGGUUGAUGAAGACCGGGGCCACCUUGGGAACACAAGAGGAUUGUAAGACACGGGGUGGGAGCCAAGACCCUGGUGUGUCAUCAUGUCAUGACCAACGCUUUUUACAGCAACUUCCCGUUUUGAUAAAAGUUCUCAAUGCACAUUUUUAUCCUUUGUUCUGUGUCACUUACUCACUUUGGGUACAUUUUGUGCAAUAAAGAUACUUGAACCAAUCAAUUCAUUCA